UCUUCUUCAUCUUGAAGGAAAUUGAAGAGACGAGCCUUCAUUUUCGGUGGAACAGAAUCAACUUCGAUUGCUUUUGCAUUUCCAGAAUUCACAGCCGUGAAGAAAAUUGAAGAUACGAGCCUCCAUUUUCGUUAGAACAGAAUCAACAGAUUGCUUCGCAUCUCCAGAAAUCACAGGUUCAUCCUGCUCCCAUCUUUCUAAAGCUCUUCUUUCUCUGAGCUUCAUCAAAUGCAUUCAUGUUUUCCGUGAGCUCUAGACAUUCGCUCUGUUAUUGUUACUUGAACUAUGCAUUGAGAAAUGAUCAAUCAAGGAAAAUAGAUCUAAUAGAACUACCAGUUUUUCCUAUAGUAGAAUUCCAUCUAUGACCUAGUUCUGUACAAAUUAUUUUGAUUAUUCGCUACUUAGAGCCACAGUAUGGAUAACAAUGCUAUAGCUACAUUAGAAUUUGGAUUAAGAAACCGAAUGUCCAUUUUGCGUCCCUCGAAUCAUCUGCAAAUCAGCUAACUGAACUACAGAAUCAUCAACCUUUUCUGCUUCUUGUCGAUUUGGAUUUCCAUACUCUUGAUCAGAAGACGCUCCCUCAAAUGAAAAGAUUUCUCUAUCUGUCUGGUUUGAGGAGCAGAUCGUUGGACUAGGGGUGGGAGGACAAGUAGAAUUUGGGACAGUGUAUGAUGUCUCUGUUGCGUAAUUUCCCUCUAGAGGGAUCUGUGGUCCUCUGAUGUUAUCUAUGCUGUGGAUUGAAUCCCUACCUCUGAAUUCACUCUUUCUAAACGUGUGAGAAGAAAAGUCUUUCUUGUCAAACUGUCUUCCAAGCAGCAUAAUCUUGGACCAAAGAGAGCCUUCAACAGAGAGAUGCUGCCUUCGCUCAUAUAUGAAGAAAGCAGCAUAUACUACUAGAGCUAAAACUGAGGCAACUAUCUCUAUCAGAAACAGUCCCCAGAAACUAUUAAGUCCUAAACUAGUUGAAGACAUGUAAGUGCUCGAAUCUGGACAACGAGUAUCUGCCCCAAACCAUUUCUUCUCCAUCUCCACCAUUUUAUCUCCCUCGUUCACAUUUAGAACCACUCUCGAAACAUCUGGUACCAUCGGUGAAUCAAUUGGGAAUACCUGCAAUUUUUAACAUAACAUUAUACAUCAUUCCACAAAAUUUUCUGAAUCGUAUAAUCUUUUAGAGUUUUACGCACAAAGCCAAAUCCAUCAGACUUGUAUACGGGUCCAACACUGGUAUAUUUGGAGCAAUGUUUACGGAGGAAAAGCGUGCUGUAAGGGAUUUCGUCAAAAGCAGCUGCGAUGCCACCGUUUUUGCUUCCCUUUUUAAAAAGGUCAUCAAGUUCUUCGGGUGAUUCAUAAGACCUAAUCCUGGAUUCAUCAAUAUUCAUUUUCUUUAAGAGUCCAAUUACAAAAGAACGAUUCUGAUACCCAACAUAUUCCCCAUUCUUUAUAAGUUCAUUGACUUCGUUAAUUGUAGGUUGGAGUUGUUGCACAGUUAACAUUGUAGUUAAGCUUGCUGUAUAACUCUGCGUCAGGAUAAGGACGACGAAGAACCAUAUGAUCACUACUAACCUGGCCAAGUUGCUUACAACCUUCU